rnacentral:misc_RNA from 1 species
GAUGAAGAACGUAGCGAAAUGCGAUAAGUAAUGCGAAUUGCAGAAUUUCCGUGAGUCAUCGAAUCUUUGAACGCACAUUGCGCCCACUGGUAUUCCGGUGGGCAUGCCUGUUCGAGCGUCAUUAUCCUCCCUCAAAACUCCUGUUUUGGUGUUGGGCCGCGUUAGUCACCUCCGACCAACGGGCCUCAAAGACAAUGACGGCGUCCGUGGGACCCUCUUCGCAGUGAGCUUUUGUUAGCGCGCGUUGAGUUUAAAGGACCUUCCGGGCCGGCCACCUUUAUCUAUUUUACAAGGUUGACCUCGGAUCAGGUAGGAAUACCCGCUGAACUUAAGCAUAUCAAUAAGCGGAGGA